rnacentral:rRNA from 1 species
AUGCACAUGGCUUUGAGGAUACUCAACUUGACCACAAGUUCAUCCAGAUGUGAAAGAAAUUGGAGCAUUUUUGAACAAGUAGAUGCAAAGAGGAGAAAUAAACUAGAUGUGCAUCGUAGGGACGAUCUAGUUUAUAUUCAAUUCAAUGGAAGAAUGCUAGACAAGAGAAAGAAGUACUCAUCAUCUUGUGAUGUCCUCCUUGGUGAAGAUGCUUCCACAACCCAAGAUUGGAUAUGUGAAGAUGCUUACAUUGAUGAUGAGAUGGGGGCAACCGAAGAUGACAAUGCAAUGGAGCCUCAUAGAAGUCUUAGGGUGAGAGAACUACAUGAGGUGGAAGAGUUCGUUUGCGAUGAUGAAUCCGACAUUGUGCCUAUCAAUGAGGAUGAGGUAGAGUUCGAGUCUGAUGAUGAUGGGGUUGGGAUAGAAGAAUCCAAUGAAAAUGGUGAGGAAGACCAGAUGCAACCUUGA